GGGGAAUUUUCCGCAAUGGACGAAAGUCUGACGGAGCAACGCCGCGUGAGUGAUGAAGGCCUUCGGGUUGUAAAACUCUGUCUUAUGGGAAGAAGAAAGUGACGGUACCAUAGGAGGAAGCCACGGCUAACUACGUGCCAGCAGCCGCGGUAAUACGUAGGUGGCGAGCGUUGUCCGGAAUCACUGGGCGUAAAGGGCGCGUAGGCGGUUAAUUAAGUCAGGUGUGAAAACUUUGGGCUCAACCCAGAGACUGCACCUGAUACUGGAUAACUUGAGUGCAGGAGAGGACAGUGGAAUUCCUAGUGUAGCGGUGAAAUGCGUAGAUAUUAGGAGGAACACCAGUGGCGAAGGCGGCUGUCUGGACUGUAACUGACGCUGAGGCGCGAAAGCGUGGGGAGCGAAC
rnacentral:rRNA from 1 species